rnacentral:rRNA from 1 species
GGGUUGUGAGGUUAAGCGACUAAGCGUACACGGUGGAUGCCCUGGCAGUCAGAGGCGAUGAAGGACGUGCUAAUCUGCGAAAAGCGUCGGUAAGGUGAUAUGAACCGUUAUAACCGGCGAUGUCCGAAUGGGGAAACCCAGUGUGUUUCGACACACUAUCAUUAACUGAAUCCAUAGGUUAAUGAGGCGAACCGGGGGAACUGAAACAUCUAAGUACCCCGAGGAAAAGAAAUCAACCGAGAUUCCCCCAGUAGCGGCGAGCGAACGGGGAGGAGCCCAGAGCCUGAAUCAGUGUGUGUGUUAGUGGAAGCGUCUGGAAAGGCGCGCGAUACAGGGUGACAGCCCCGUACACAAAAAUGCACAUGCUGUGAGCUCGAUGAGUAGGGCGGGACACGUGGUAUCCUGUCUGAAUAUGGGGGGACCAUCCUCCAAGGCUAAAUACUCCUGACUGACCGAUAGUGAACCAGUACCGUGAGGGAAAGGCGAAAAGAACCCCGGCGAGGGGAGUGAAAAAGAACCUGAAACCGUGUACGUACAAGCAGUGGGAGCCUCUUUAUGGGGUGACUGCGUACCUUUUGUAUAAUGGGUCAGCGACUUAUAUUCUGUAGCAAGGUUAACCGAAUAGGGGAGCCGGAGGGAAACCGAGUCUUAACUGGGCGUUAAGUUGCAGGGUAUAGACCCGAAACCCGGUGAUCUAGCCAUGGGCAGGUUGAAGGUUGGGUAACACUAACUGGAGGACCGAACCGACUAAUGUUGAAAAAUUAGCGGAUGACUUGUGGCUGGGGGUGAAAGGCCAAUCAAACCGGGAGAUAGCUGGUUCUCCCCGAAAGCUAUUUAGGUAGCGCCUCGUGAAUUCAUCUCCGGGGGUAGAGCACUGUUUCGGCAAGGGGGUCAUCCCGACUUACCAACCCGAUGCAAACUGCGAAUACCGGAGAAUGUUAUCACGGGAGACACACGGCGGGUGCUAACGUCCGUCGUGAAGAGGGAAACAACCCAGACCGCCAGCUAAGGUCCCAAAGUCAUGGUUAAGUGGGAAACGAUGUGGGAAGGCCCAGACAGCCAGGAUGUUGGCUUAGAAGCAGCCAUCAUUUAAAGAAAGCGUAAUAGCUCACUGGUCGAGUCGGCCUGCGCGGAAGAUGUAACGGGGCUAAACCAUGCACCGAAGCUGCGGCAGCGACGCUGAUGCGUUGUUGGGUAGGGGAGCGUUCUGUAAGCCUGUGAAGGUGUGCUGUGAGGCAUGCUGGAGGUAUCAGAAGUGCGAAUGCUGACAUAAGUAACGAUAAAGCGGGUGAAAAGCCCGCUCGCCGGAAGACCAAGGGUUCCUGUCCAACGUUAAUCGGGGCAGGGUGAGUCGACCCCUAAGGCGAGGCCGAAAGGCGUAGUCGAUGGGAAACAGGUUAAUAUUCCUGUACUUGGUGUUACUGCGAAGGGGGGACGGAGAAGGCUAUGUUGGCCGGGCGACGGUUGUCCCGGUUUAAGCGUGUAGGCUGGUUUUCCAGGCAAAUCCGGAGAAUCAAGGCUGAGGCGUGAUGACGAGGCACUACGGUGCUGAAGCAACAAAUGCCCUGCUUCCAGGAAAAGCCUCUAAGCAUCAGGUAACAUCAAAUCGUACCCCAAACCGACACAGGUGGUCAGGUAGAGAAUACCAAGGCGCUUGAGAGAACUCGGGUGAAGGAACUAGGCAAAAUGGUGCCGUAACUUCGGGAGAAGGCACGCUGAUAUGUAGGUGAAGCGACUUGCUCGUGGAGCUGAAAUCAGUCGAAGAUACCAGCUGGCUGCAACUGUUUAUUAAAAACACAGCACUGUGCAAACACGAAAGUGGACGUAUACGGUGUGACGCCUGCCCGGUGCCGGAAGGUUAAUUGAUGGGGUCAGCGCAAGCGAAGCUCUUGAUCGAAGCCCCGGUAAACGGCGGCCGUAACUAUAACGGUCCUAAGGUAGCGAAAUUCCUUGUCGGGUAAGUUCCGACCUGCACGAAUGGCGUAAUGAUGGCCAGGCUGUCUCCACCCGAGACUCAGUGAAAUUGAACUCGCUGUGAAGAUGCAGUGUACCCGCGGCAAGACGGAAAGACCCCGUGAACCUUUACUAUAGCUUGACACUGAACACUGGUCCUUGAUGUGUAGGAUAGGUGGGAGGCUUUGAAGUGUGGACGCCAGUCUGCAUGGAGCCGUCCUUGAAAUACCACCCUUUAAUGGCUGGUGUUCUAACGUUGGCCCCUUAUCGGGGUUGCGGACAGUGUCUGGUGGGUAGUUUGACUGGGGCGGUCUCCUCCUAAAGAGUAACGGAGGAGCACGAAGGUUGGCUAAUCCUGGUCGGACAUCAGGAGGUUAGUGCAAUGGCAUAAGCCAGCUUGACUGCGAGCGUGACGGCGCGAGCAGGUGCGAAAGCAGGUCAUAGUGAUCCGGUGGUUCUGAAUGGAAGGGCCAUCGCUCAACGGAUAAAAGGUACUCCGGGGAUAACAGGCUGAUACCGCCCAAGAGUUCAUAUCGACGGCGGUGUUUGGCACCUCGAUGUCGGCUCAUCACAUCCUGGGGCUGAAGUAGGUCCCAAGGGUAUGGCUGUUCGCCAUUUAAAGUGGUACGCGAGCUGGGUUUAGAACGUCGUGAGACAGUUCGGUCCCUAUCUGCCGUGGGCGCUGGAGAACUGAGGGGGGCUGCUCCUAGUACGAGAGGACCGGAGUGGACGCAUCACUGGUGUUCGGGUUGUCAUGCCAAUGGCACUGCCCGGUAGCUAAAUGCGGAAGAGAUAAGUGCUGAAAGCAUCUAAGCACGAAACUUGCCCCGAGAUGAGUUCUCCCUGAGACUUAGAGUCUCCUGAAGGAACGUUGAAGACGACGACGUUGAUAGGCCGGGUGUGUAAGCGCAGCGAUGCGUUGAGCUAACCGGUACUAAUGAACCGUGAGGCUUAACCUUACAACGCCGAAGGUGUUU